GGAUCUGUAGCUUAAAGGGAAAAGCAUCUGGCUUCUAACCGGAUAGAUGUGGGUUCGAUUCCUACCGGAUCUU
rnacentral:tRNA from 1 species